rnacentral:misc_RNA from 1 species
GUUGAAAGAACCAUAUAUUCUGAAUUGCUAUUGACUUCUUCCAAUAAAAAUAAAAUAAAUAUGCUUGAAUAUGUUCACAGCAUCAGGUGGGUUUUAGAAACAAGAAUUAAGAUGUCUGAUCAUGAAUAUAUCAACAAAGUUCACAAUGAUACGAAUUAAAAUACUCCCAUAACUUGACUAAUGAGCUUUAACUCUGUGUUACUAAAGUCAUCUCCAGGACUAUGAGGUCUUGAGUUCAAGCUCCAGUCAGAGCCAAUUAUACCCUCCAAAAAAAAAAAACUCUCCCAUAACAUCAGUUGCCUUGCUGUUUCUCAAUAAUUCAAUAUUUCACGCAGCUCAGAUUUAAGAUUUUGGGCCAGUCAUCAUUUUCUGAAUUCUGUGUAGGCAUGGAAAUAAACAUGUUAUUAAAAUCCAAGCCGGAAACUAGAGAAUUGAAGUUAAUUAGCAAAUCUGGCAAAAACCAAAGUAAAUUUAUGAGUGCAAAGAACUAAAACCCUAAGAUGAAAGAAGAAAAGGUGCAAAAAUAAAAGUAAAUUUUAGGAAAAUAAAAACAUGAAAUAGGGGGAAAAAAAGGCAUUUGACUAGAGCAAACUAUAACAUGAAGAUAACUGUACUCCUAAAAGAAGUUAAAAUUCUGUAUUUCCUCUAUUACUUCCACCUGAAGCCCUAGUGAGGUGCAUCAAAUUAUUAUGAUAACAAAAAGAAUCUAUAUAACUGGACUAACUUUUGACUUAUAACUUAAUGGCAAACAGAGAAUUCUAGUGGACUUGAAAAUUAUAUGACAAGUCUAGCCUUUGAUAUUGGUUGAAAACAGUGAUAGAACUGACUAGAGCUUUAACAAAUCAACAUACAACAGGCCUGAAAUUGUCAAUUUCUAAAUAUAUGUCGUUCAUCUGAGUAAAUGAGUCACAAAAUGAGUAGUGCAAAUCGAUCUUAUUUGGCUGCUCAAGCACAAGAGUAAAUAGUGGCUUACGUUUAGUUUGAAAAGUAAACUUUAGCAGGCAAUCUUUGUCUGUUUCCUAUAUGCAUCUUUCAUUUUGCUUAGAACAAUAUUCAACAUUUGUUCUCUGCGGUAAAACAAGAAUCUGAAAUGAGGUUGAACGUAGUUGUGAAGUCACUCAGGAAAUUCCAUUAAAAAAAGCAGCAGAGCGUUGAAGACAUUAAUCAAAGCCUGUGAACCUGUAUUGCCUAUAAUGAACGCCUCAAUAAUUAUCAUUUACCACUAUAUGUACCCAAGGGAAAAAAUUACAUUAGGAAGGAAAAAAAGAAGUGGGUAACAUACAGCUUUUGAUGAUUUG